GAUGAAGAACGCAGCGAAAUGCGAUACGUAAUGUGAAUUGCAGAAUUCAGUGAAUCAUCGAAUCUUUGAACGCACAUUGCGCCCCUUGGUAUCCCGAGGGGCAUGCCUGUUCGAGCGUCAUUUCACCACUCAAGCCUGGCUUGGUGUUGGGCGACGUCCCCUUUAGGGACGCGCCUCGAAACGCUCGGCGGCGUGGCACCGGCUUUAAGCGUAGCAGAAUCUUUCGCUUUGGAAGUCGGGGCCCCGCCUGCCGGAAUACCUACUCGUAAGGUUGACCUCGGAUCAGGUAGGGAUACCCGCUGAACUUAAGCAUAUCAAUAAGCGGAGGA
rnacentral:misc_RNA from 1 species